rnacentral:rRNA from 1 species
AUUGAACGCUAGCGGGAUGCUUUACACAUGCAAGUCGAACGAGCGGCGGACGGGUGAGUAAUGUAUGGGGACUGCCCGAUAGAGGGGGAUAACUACUGGAAACGGUAGCUAAUACCGCAUACUAUCGGAUAACCCAUAUGGGAUUAGCUAGUAGGUGAGGUAAUGGCUAACCUAGGCGACGAUCCCUAGCCGGUUUGAGUGGAUGAUCAGCCAAACUGGAACUGCGACACGGCCCAGACUCCUCCGGAUGCAGCAGUGGUGAAUAUUGCACAAUGGGAGCAAGCCUGAUGCAGCCAUGCCGCGUGUAUGAAGAAGGCCCUAGGGUUGUAAAGUACUUUCAGUCGGGAGGCGUUACCGACAGAAGAAGCACCGGCUAACUCCGUGCCAGCCGCCGCGGUAAUUC